rnacentral:lncRNA from 1 species
CUCUGAAGAGGGCGUUUCCCCCCCUGACAGACCCCCACCCCCUCGGCAGGUAGAGUCGGGGCUUGUACCCCCGAUCUCGGGACGAAGGGAAGCUCACUCCCACUCUCCACGCUGAGCUCCCAGCCAGAGGCGCCUGUUGAGUGUCAGUGUGUGUCAGUGUGUGGGUGUCCUCAGAAGGGAACUCUGUACCUGUGUGUGUCAGUGUGUGAGUGUCCUCAGAAGGGAACUGUACCUGUGUGUGUGUGUCAGUGUGUGAGUGUCCUCAGAAGGGAACUGUACCUGUGUGUCAGUGUGUGUCAGUGUGUGUCAGUGUGUGUCAGUGUGUGUCAGUGUGUGAGUGUCCUCAGAAGGGAACUGUACCUGUGUGUCAGUGUGUGUCAGUGUGUGAGUGUCCUC